UGGGUUUUUCACUGAUCAGAAACUUUGUCUCCGGUGUGAAUUACUUCUAGGGAAAGCGUGCACGCAUUAAUCAAUCAAUUUGGAAGGUGUAGAUAGACAAAUUAUCAAAGUUUUCUUUGGUCCAAAUCAGUUGGCGCACUUCCGAACAGGGACGAGAGGGUUGUUGUUAUUCUGCUCGAAGCCGUAAAAUCCCAGGACCGGAGAGGAGACCCCCAGAGAUUGAAAAAAAAAAAAAAAAGAGCCUGAUCACCUCUGCAUAUGGUAAAUGAGUAACUUACCUAUAUUUUCCAUUCUUUGGAAUUGGUCUGCACUCUGGGCCUUCACUCGGCUUCCUGUGGUUAACGUCAGACAGGUAUAUAGUAUGCCCACAUGUCCCCUUUUAUAUAGAACCUGUCACUUGUCUAUCUACAGCCUGAGUCCUGAGUGUGAGUUUUAUGUGUGAAAGUGUCUGUUUGAGAAUCUGUUUUACUUUCUUGUGAUUAUUUAAUUCAGGGUGCA
rnacentral:lncRNA from 1 species